UACGUAGGGUGCGAGCGUUGUCCGGAAUUAUUGGGCGUAAAGGGCUCGUAGGCGGUUUGUCGCGUCGGGAGUGAAAAUCCAGGGCUUAACUCUGGACUGGCUUCCGAUACGGGCAGACUAGAGGUAUGCAGGGGAGAACGGAAUUCCUGGUGUAGCGGUGAAAUGCGCAGAUAUCUGGAGGAACACCGGUGGCGAAGGCGGCGUUCUGGACUGCAUCUGACACUGAAAGACGAAAGCCAGGGGAGCAAACGGG
rnacentral:rRNA from 1 species